rnacentral:lncRNA from 1 species
GUGAUAGUUGAGCGAAGGAUGGAUUGACAUGGGGAAAGACUUAAAGCAGGGAGGCCAACAAGUAGGCUGUCAAAGUGGUCCAGGUGUGAGGUGAUGGAAGCCUUCUCUGGGUGGCAGAAGUACCAGAAGAAAGAACAAAGAGGGCAAAAGCAGGAUAUGUUCUGAAGGUAGAAAACAACAAGAUUGGACAACGAAUAGGAUAGAGAGUGAGGAGCUGAGUUAUUCACUGGAGUUAUUCAAGCAGGAACCGGACAGGCAUUUUUCAGGGAUACUGUAAAAGGGACUCCAACGUUGGGUGAUCAGAUCAGAUUAGAUGUGAUUUCUGAAUCUCCUCUCAGCUCUGAGAUCCCAGGAUUCUAUGGUCCUAUGAGCCAAAAGUCCUAUACUUUGAAGACUGGUACCUACUGGUUUCAGUGGCUACUUCUAUGAGUUGGCAUCCAUGAAUUUAAGAUUCUAGAAUUCUCUGAUUCUUUGAGAAAAAGACCAGUGAGUUCUCUCAUUUUAUGGGCCCAGAAUUCUAUUAUUCUCUGAGUCUGUGUUUCUGAGAUUCUGGAGGGCCUUAUGUUACCACAUACCUCUUGCUCUUUUGACUAUAGCACCUGGAGGUCAGGGAUACUGGUAGGGUUGGACAUGCCAAGAAGGCAUGCCAGGACUGGAGAGAGGAGCUCUUGCUUCCCAGGCUGCAACAUUCAGAUGUCAGAAGUCAAGGAAGGUAUUCAGCAUGCAGGGUGGAUGUCCAGUGAUGAACUUAAAAGAAGAGAGAGGACAAGAAGAACCCAGGAAAGGGAAGCUUGAGUGGUUAUGAUCUGCCUUGUCAAAAAAGACAUCAGCAUCAUUGAGACUCCAUCUGAGUAACAAUAACUGAGAUUUAUAUGGCACUUAAAAGUUUGCAAAGCACUCUCCAUGAUCUCUUACAUUUGACCAUCACAACAACUCUAGGAGGUAAAAGCUAUGGGCAUUAUACCCAUUUUAUAAGUGAGGAAGCUAAGAUUGAGAUAAGGGUCUCUCAGCUAGGGACUGUCUGGAGCAAAACUUAAACUCAUGUUCAGGAAUCCAAGUCCUGUGCUAUAUGUCUAUCUUCCAUUUGAUGACCCUUCAAAUACCCUGGCUUCCUCAACGACCAUGGCCUCUAUCUCUAAGGGGGUGGUCAAACUUUGGACUUCAAUCACUCAAAACCAUUCCAUAUCCAAGAUCUUGAACUCUGAAAUUUCCCUCACAAUUACAAACUACUAUCCUUCUCCUUUCCCCUUGUCUCUCUCUCCUCCUAAAACUGUUUUUUGUCUUUAGGAAGAAUUUUGGUCCCUCAAUCCUUCCGCAUCUAUUCUUCCUUGUUUUCCCAGUUCAUUGUUUUAGCCUUACUUUCCACCUUCCACAGUCUAGACCCUAUCUCUAGCUGACCAGGUAAACAACUGUGCACCGCACUCCACUGGACCCUUCCUUCCCUAUUCAGGUCCUGCUAAUCUUCAGCUGAAUUUCACCUCCACUCAUUCUCUUCUCUGCCACCAUUCUGAGUCACUGAAAUCUACAGGAAGUCAUGAAAUCAAGUAGUCUGGAUGAUUUGGGAUCCAUGCCACCCACUCACAACCUGGCUUCACCACUCCAGAGUAAUCUUUGAUUAACUCCCUAUAAUGCUCAUUUUUCCCAAUGACUUGGAUAAAGGUUAAAUGAUAUGUUUAUUCAUAUUGCACAUGAGAGAAAGGUAGGAGGUUUAGUCAGCUUGUUAGAUGAGAGAUUAAGAUCCAAAAAGAUCUUGACAGGAUAGAACAUAGGCUAAAUCUAUUAAAUUAGAUGUUUAUAGAUAAACACAUUUCGAAUCUUAAACUCUUCCCUUUAAUUAAAGUCUAAUAAGUUUCAUAUUAAGCCUCUAUUAAAUCAUAAUUGAGUCUACUGACUGAUUGGUAAAGGGAAUUGCCCUAGCAGAGGUUCCAAUGUUAGGAAGAUAGUCACUCCAAAGGUUACCUCCCCAUUACCAGAUAUGUGUGUAUGUAUUAUAUAUCUUAUAAAGUAGAGUAGUGAUAGUAUGUGCCUGGAGGGGAGAGAAGAGACAGACUUUCUUUUCAAAGAUAACCUUUCUGCUUGAAUUGCUAUGCAUGGGGAGCAGAGUUGGGAAGGUAGAGGAAUCCUAACUGACCUGAACAGAUUUAUCUGUAGGUCAAAGGAGAGAGACUUGCUGCAUCCUUUGAGAGGGGAAAGAUCUUUGAAGGCCAUCAAUUCAAAUUAUGUUAAAAAUUACUCAUCCCUUAAAAAUGAAUAAAAGAAACAAUUGAUAAAUUAUUCCUUAAAAA